rnacentral:lncRNA from 1 species
GGGCGAGGGAGGAGUCUUAGGAGGUCUUCCUCGUUUCCUUUUCACUGGCGUAGCAGCGACAGAGUUCUCGCUGGGAGCCGUCCCGGCGGCGGCGGCGGCGGGGUCUCUGCCGGGCGGCGUGUCCGUCUUCCUGGGCGCCCCGGCGCCCCGGCCGCGGCCCAGCUGGUGCUGCUGCUCGCUGAGCUGGGCCGCCAUGCGGGACUCCGUCUCCAGCCGGCGCCGCACGGGGAGGUUCCUCAGCACGGGCAUGUCCGGAGAGGCGUGGGGCGGGGAGUAGGGGUGGUAGCCCCGAGGCUGGGGGGUGGGGAGAGCGGGGCCGUGGUCCAUGUCCUUGCCGGGGGGCCCUUUGGGUUUGCUCUCGGGGCUCUGGGGGGCGGCGUCUCGGCCGGGCUCAGAGGCGGAGCCCCCCGUCUGCUCCUCGGCAGCCUCCUCCGAGGAGCCGUGGCCGCCCGUGCCGCUGGCCCGCCUCCGCCUCUUGCGUGGCUCCUUGUCCGUCACCACGGUGACCAGCCUGCCGGGGAGCUUCCGGAGGACCUUGGCGGAGGGCGAGUCCUCCGACAGCCCCUUGAGGACCUCCCCGUCCGCAGACUGCCGCUUGCGGGGCGAGCGGGAGCUGGAGCUGACCGGAAUAGGACCGAGGGCGUCCAUGUGCGUGGUGUCCUCUCUGGCCGAGUACAUCUGGUGGUCCACGGGGCAGUUGGACUCCAAUGGCGAGACCUCUGUCAUGGACCUCUCUUUCGUGCCCGUCUUCUCCUCUUUCUCCUUUUCCUUGCUAGCAACCUUCUCCUCCUUACUAGCCCCCUUCUCCUCCUCACUAGCCACCUUCUCCUUCUCCUCGCUAGCCACCUUCUCCUUAUUAGCCUGCUUCUCUUUACUACAGGGCUCCUCCCUCUCAGUAGUGACCUGCUCCUCCGGCCUCUCCUCCUUACCCCUGGGCUCCGGAGCGGCAGAACGCUGACCCUCUGUCGGCCCGUCGGUUUGGGGUCUCCCCUUGGCCGGGGACGAGGGGGCAGGGGAAGGCACUGGGCCGGAGACGGCGCGGUUCAGAGUCCUGCCUUUAGUGGGCUCUCUGGUGGGGGAGGAGUCUUUAGCGUGUUUGGAGGAGGCGGGGCUCUUAGUGUUGGGGUCUGCGCGGGUCGGGCUAGCAGUGCUGGUGCUGGGGGGGGAAGCAGCAGCAGCAGCAGCCGCCGCCGCCGCCGCCGAGUCUUUGGACGGCGGUCGGCCUCUCAGGCCGGAGCGGGGUCUCUCAGGCACUUCUCGGGGGGCCGGCGGCGGGCUGGGCUCGGGCUCCGGGGACGCGCCGCGCAGCCGGCCGCUGGUCCGGGUGGAGGUGGCGCUCUUGUCUUUGGGCUUCCGGCCCCGGCGGGCGGGGGUCACCGCGGGGGUCUCUGCGGAGGCGGGCGGCGACGACGCGUCGUCGUCCGAGGAGGCGUUGUGCUUCAGGCCCUCCUCCUUGGCCUGGUCCAGGCCCUUCCGGGCCGCCUCCACUUGUUCCUGGGAACAAGGAGAGCUCGGGUCACAUCGGCUCAAAGGACAACAUGGGUCAAAGUAGCUAAUGAUGCCACUCCCUCGACCAGUUAA